CAACAUCGCCAGCUGAUGAGCGAUUUUGUAGGCGGAAUUGUAUAACGAAGAAUGCAAUAAUUCUAAUCGUCAACCGAGAUCAGCUCACUCGUGUUACAAAUACACACAUUCGCAACUAACACACACAUUACACUUUACAGUCAUAUUGAUUUUUUCCCUGCCUCAGAAUUGGAAAUCGGCGAAGGAAAAUUAGCAGAAAACUGGGGCGAUGAAAAAUCGCCGCCUAGCGGUAUGCUUCUCCGCGCAGCCUCUCUGCUGUCUUCAUCCGUCGGUGUCGGCCCUCCGCUGCUUUGUACUAGAAAUCAACCGAUUUCGCUAUUAGCUUGCAAUCUUGGGUAUUGCCGGAUUGCUGAUGUGUUCCAUGUAAGUUUUUCUCAAAGGGCAAGGUAGUAGAGGACAAUGCUGCUUGCAGUUUGCUAAGCAAGGGAAGUGUUGCUGACUGUGGUUCUCUGGUUCUCUGGGAAUUCCAUCCACCCGUACUAAUGGUGACACUCAUUACCGAGAAGCUAAAGAGCCAUUCCCUAGAGGAUCCCGACCACCUUGCCAUCACAUACACAACUUCCCCAGGUUGUAAAAACCGCCCGUGGAAGUAACGACAGCCGACACUUAAUGAUACUAGUGACCGCUGGCGGGGAAAUUGGCCUGGCAAAUCUUCUUCCGCAACUGAACAUGAUCUGCACUGGAGCGUUAAUGCAGACCCCGUACACAGCGGUCCCACACGUCCGGAUCGGCGCCUUCUAAUGGCCUUCCAUUUCGACGCUCUGUGACGAGAUGUUCCUUCAGUGGCGAUAGUU
rnacentral:misc_RNA from 1 species